rnacentral:rRNA from 1 species
CUACGGAGGGUGCAAGCGUUAUUCGGAAGCACUGGGCGUAAAGGACGCGUAGGCGGGUUGGCAAGUCAGAUGUGAAAUCCUACAGCUUAACUGUAGAACUGCAUUUGAAACUGCUAACCUAGAGUAUGGGAGGGGGAGAUGGAAUUAGUGGUGUAGGGGUAAAAUCCGUAGAUAUCACUAGGAAUACCGAAAGCGAAGGCGAUCUCCUGGAACAUAACUGACGCUAAGGCGUGAAAGCGUGGGGAGCAAACAGGAUUAGAUACCCUGGUAGUCC